rnacentral:tmRNA from 1 species
GGGGUAGUAAAGGUUUCGACAGGGGUAAUGCAGCUGGAGAAGCUAUCCGCAGCAACGCGUUAAAAUGCAAAACUAAAUAUAAACGCUAACGAUAGAGUAGCACUGGCAGCCUAAGCGCUGCCUGUCCGCCCGGGUUCCCCUACAAAUCCGGAUACGGGCAUCAUCCUUUGUAGGAAACGACCGUCAUUAAGCUUUGCGUGACGGAACGUAUGAUGAAGCUACCAAGGCCUGAAGGGUGUUGUUUCCCGUCAGGUUGAGGGAAUGUUAAACAAACAACUACGAUAGUAGAAGGACAGGGAAUUUAUCUUUGGACAUGGGUUCGACUCCCAUCUACUCCAC